AUGGGCAGCGCCGCCUCGCCGCCGCGGGCCCUCGACGCGGCGACGCAGGAGGACCUCAAGCGCGUCUCCGCGCACCGCGCCGUCGACAUGGUGGAGUCCGGCAUGACGCUGGGGCUCGGCACCGGCUCCACGGCCGCGCACGCGCUCGACCGCCUCGGCGACCUCCUCCGCACCGGCGCGCUGCGCGCGGUCGCCGGGGUGCCCACCUCCCUCAAGACGGAGGCGCACGCCGCGCGCGUCGGGAUCCCCAUGCUCGCGCUCGCCGACGCCGCCGAGAUCCACCUCUCCAUCGACGGCGCCGACGAGGUCGACCCGGACCUCAACCUCGUCAAGGGCCGCGGCGGCUCGCUCCUCCGCGAGAAGAUGAUCGAGGGCGCCGGCGCCCGCUUCGUCGUCAUCGUCGACGAGUCCAAGCUCGUCCCCCGCCUCGGCUGCACGGGCGCCGUGCCCGUCGAGGUCGUCCCCUUCGGCAGCGCCUACACGCUCGGCCUCAUCCGCAAGGUGUUCGACAAAUUGCCGGGCUUCCACGCCAGGCUCAGGACCGUCAAGUCCAAGGCCAGCGACCGCCAGGAGGAGCUCUUUCUCACCGACAACGGCAACCACAUCGUCGAGAUGUUCUUCGAGGACGGCAUACACGGCAACCUGCGCGACAUCAGCGACAGCCUGCUGCGCAUCACGGGCGUCGUCGAGCACGGCAUGUUCCUCGGCAUGGCCACCAAGGUGAUUGUCGCCAAGAAGGACGGCACCGUGGCGGUCCUCAGCAAGAAGUAG
rnacentral:rRNA from 1 species